rnacentral:rRNA from 1 species
GAUGAACGCUGGCGGCGUGCCUAAUACAUGCAAGUCGAGCGAACAGAUAAGGAGCUUGCUCCUUUGACGUUAGCGGCGGACGGGUGAGUAACACGUGGGUAACCUACCUAUAAGACUGGAAUAACUCCGGGAAACCGGGGCUAAUGCCGGAUAAUAUUUAGAACCGCAUGGUUCUAAAGUGAAAGAUGGUUUUACUAUCACUUAUAGAUGGACCCGCGCCGUAUUAGCUAGUUGGUGGGGUAAUGGCUUACCAAGGCAACGAUACGUAGCCGACCUGAGAGGGUGAUCGGCCACACUGGAACUGAGACACGGUCCAGACUCCUACGGGAGGCAGCAGUAGGGAAUCUUCCGCAAUGGGCGAAAGCCUGACGGAGCAACGCCGCGUGAGUGAUGAAGGUCUUCGGAUCGUAAAACUCUGUUAUUAGGGAAGAACAAAUGUGUAAGUAACUGUGCACGUCUUGACGGUACCUAAUCAGAAAGCCACGGCUAACUACGUGCCAGCAGCCGC